AAACAAGAAGGAUGACAAACAAUAUAACAUCUCGUAUAACGUAACUAUAAGCAAAAACAAAAGUACUACUGACUACUGACAUAAAUUCGGUCAGUAUAUAGCAGUUUGUCUGUAUAGUACUGAUGGGAGUAAAAGUCUUAUUACAUUUUAUUUGAGUAACUCAAAAAAGGCCCUUCGGCUUAACUUUCGAGUAGAUACAUACUACUGAGCAGUAUGUUUUUAAAUUUCCUUCUCGCUCUGACAUUAAUCCAUUACUCUACUUCUUUCUCUUCUCUUUCUCUUUAGCUGUCCUUAUCAUUAUUUCUUAGUUAUAGUCCUCAGUCUUGAUUCGCUUCUAUCUUUCUUACUCUUACCUCUUGCUAUAUAUUCAAACCCAAACCCAACUAGUCUUGCUCGUGAUCGUCAUCGUCAUCGUCAUCGUCAUGGUACACAUACAUACAUGGUAUAUAUACACACAUGCCUGGAUGCAUCCAUAUCUUGUGUCUUUGUCGCUCAAAAACGAGACUCGCCGACUUUCCGACAAAGGAAUAAAGAAAAGAAACAACUAGCCAGGCUAUACUACGUUCUGUUCGUUGAGGAUGCCAUGCCACGGUAUGGUUUGCUGUAUGCCAUGUAAUGGUAUAUAUAUAUAUAUAUAUAUAUAUGUGGUAUGUCUUCAACCUUCUAUCCACUACCAUACCUAACUAUAACCGUAGAAAACAUAGAUAUUGUAUAGUAGGAUGUAAUAUCAAAUGAUGGAGAAAUGAAAUUGGAAUGGAAGGGGCUGCAGGCGCUUACCGUACCAGUGGCGUAUCAAACCACAUCACAGUGUCCUCUCAUGCUCAUAUCAACUUCAAUGUACAAUCCUCAUUGCAAUAUGUACAGGCAUUAGUCGUAGGUCACGUCAAACUCAUCACUUUCAUCUCAGAAACUUCAAAGAGAAUUGCCGAACCCGUAACAUUUUCUUAACUUACAGCUGAGUAACUGUAGGACGGUUCAGCUUAGUUAAAAAAAGAUAAACUCAAAAAUAAAA